AACAGAUUGAGAGCUCUUUCUUGAUUCGGGGGGUGGUGGKGCAUGGCCGUUCUUAGUUGGGGGAGCGAUUUGUCUGGUUAAUUCCGAUAACGAACGAGACUCUGGCCUGCUAAAUAGUCCUCCCCCCGCCAAUGGAGGGGAGCCCCAGACUUCUUAGAGGAAAUACCGGCGUCCCCAGCCGGAGGAAUCCCGGAGCCAUAACAGGUCUGUGAUGCCCUUAGAUGUUCGGGGCCGCACGCGCGCUACACUGAAAGAGGCAGAGGGUCGAGUCCUGGUCUGGCAAGGCUGGGCAACCCGUGCACAAACUCUAUCGUGCUAGGGACUGGGGCUUGCAAUUUUUCCCCAUCAACGAGGAAUUCCCAGUAAGCGCGAGUCAUCAGCUCGUGUUGAUUACGUCCCUGCCCUUUGUACACACCGCCCGUCGCUACUACCGAUUGAAUGGUUUAGUGAGGCCCUCGGACGGGCCCCGGGCUGGUCGCUUCGGCGGCCGGCUGUCUGGUGCUGCCUGAAAGACGGUCGAACUUGAUCAUUUAGAGGAAGUAAAAGUCGUAACAAGGUUUC
rnacentral:rRNA from 1 species